CGCGUAGGCGGCGUUUUAAGUCGGGGGUGAAAGCCUGUGGCUCAACCACAGAAUGGCCUUCGAUACUGGGACGCUUGAGUAUGGUAGAGGUUGGUGGAACUGCGAGUGUAGAGGUGAAAUUCGUAGAUAUUCGCAAGAACACCGGUGGCGAAGGCGGCCAACUGGACCAUUACUGACGCUGAGGCGCGAAAGCGUGGGGAGCAAACA
rnacentral:rRNA from 1 species